GUUGUUGUGGCCGAGAGGUUAAGGCGAUGGACUUGAAAUCCAUUGGGGUCUCCCCGCGCAGGUUCGAGUCCUGCCAGCAACG
rfam:Gasterosteus aculeatus cont1.009818, whole genome shotgun sequence.